GAUGAAGAACGUAGCGAAAUGCGAUAAGUAAUGUGAAUUGCAGAAUUCAGUGAAUCAUCGAAUCUUUGAACGCACAUUGCGCCCGUCAGUAUUCUGGCGGGCAUGCCUGUUCGAGCGUCAUUACGCCCCUCAAGUCCCCUGUGGACUUGGUGUUGGGGAUCGGCGAGGCUGGUUUUCCAGCACAGCCGUCCCUUAAAUUAAUUGGCGGUCUCGCCGUGGCCCUCCUCUGCGCAGUAGUAAAACACUCGCAACAGGAGCCCGGCGCGGUCCACUGCCGUAAAACCCCCCAACUUUUUAUAGUUGACCUCGAAUCAGGUAGGACUACCCGCUGAACUCAAGCAUAUCAAUAAGCGGAGGA
rnacentral:misc_RNA from 1 species